GACGAACGCUGGCGGCGUGCUUAACACAUGCAAGUCGAACGGAAAGGCCCCCUUGUGGGGUACUCGAGUGGCGAACGGGUGAGUAACACGUGAGUAACCUACCCUUGACUUUGGGAUAACUUCAGGAAACUGGGGCUAAUACCGGAUAGGAGCUCCUGCAGCAUGGGGGGGGUUGGAAAGUUUCGGCGGUUGGGGAUGGACUCGCGGCUUAUCAGCUUGUUGGUGGGGUAGUGGCUCACCAAGGCUUUGACGGGUAGCCGGCCUGAGAGGGUGACCGGCCACAUUGGGACUGAGAUACGGCCCAGACUCCUACGGGAGGCAGCAGUGGGGAAUAUUGCACAAUGGGCGGAAGCCUGAUGCAGCAACGCCGCGUGCGGGAUGACGGCCUUCGGGUUGUAAACCGCUUUCGCCUGUGACGAAGCGUGAGUGACGGUAAUGGGUAAAGAAGCACCGGCUAACUACGUG
rnacentral:rRNA from 1 species